rnacentral:rRNA from 1 species
CUACGGGCUGCUGCAGUGGGGAAUAUUGCACAAUGGGCGCAAGCCUGAUGCAGCCAUGCCGCGUGUAUGAGGAAGGCCUUCGGGUUGUAAAGUACUUUCAGCGGGGAGGAAGGGAGUAAAGUUAAUACCUUUGCUCAUUGACGUUACCCGCAGAAGAAGCACCGGCUAACUCCGUGCCAGCAGCCGCGGUAAUACGGAGGGUGCAAGCGUUAAUCGGAAUUACUGGGCGUAAAGCGCACGCAGGCGGUUUGUUAAGUCAGAUGUGAAAUCCCCGGGCUCAACCUGGGAACUGCAUCUGAUACUGGCAAGCUUGAGUCUCGUAGAGGGGGGUAGAAUUCCAGGUGUAGCGGUGAAAUGCGUAGAGAUCUGGAGGAAUACCGGUGGCGAAGGCGGCCCCCUGGACGAAGACUGACGCUCAGGUGCGAAAGCGUGGGGAGCAAACAGGAUUAGAUACCCUCGUAGUC